AUCAGUUGUCAGCCUUUUGGCUAACUUCAAGUGUAUUAUCUGUUCUUAUCAGUUUAAUAUCUAAUAUGUCCUCUACCUUAGGACAAUGUAUUAAAUGGAUCUUUGGAGCAGGGAGACGGAGUAGGGGCUUUCUCCAUCCGCUCCAUGCACUGAUCUGGUAUUGUAGUACCUCCAGGAACGGUGCACCAAAA
rnacentral:snRNA from 1 species